AACGAACGCUGGCGGCGUGCCUAACACAUGCAAGUCGAACGAGAAAUUACGCUUCGGCGUGAGAGUAAAGUGGCGCACGGGUGAGUAACGCGUGGGUAACCUACCCCUCAGGCUGGGAUAACCCCGCGAAAGCGGGGCUAAUACCGGAUAUUGUCCCAGGGGCCCUGGCUCUUGGGAUGAAAGGUGGCCUCUUCUUGAAAGCUGCCGUUGAGGGACGGGCCCGCGUACCAUUAGCUUGUUGGUAGGGUAACGGCCUACCAAGGCGACGAUGGUUAGCUGGUCUGAGAGGAUGAUCAGCCACACUGGAACUGGAACACGGUCCAGACUCCUACGGGUGGCAG
rnacentral:rRNA from 1 species